GCGUCCCUUUCCGCCAUCUCGCAAAUGGGCAUCGGUCCUGGGAAAGGUAUUUUUACAGCCGUAAAGCAGUCCGCCUACCCGGGCUUGUGUCCACCGACUUAUCACCGGUGGUGAACGGUGGAGCGGUUAGCAGCAGAGACCGCAUAAUGAAACGCUAUUUUUGCAUCGCGUUCAUUGUCGCAAGCGUACUCGUUGUCAAAAGUGAUGAACCGAUCGGGUUUGUUGCAUUUACCACGAUAGCGCAAGACAAGUAGCGUUAAGGCCGCCUCGGGCGGCCUUUUUU
rnacentral:sRNA from 1 species